AUUGAACGCUGGCGGCAGGCUUAACGCAUGCAAGUCGAGCGGGGGAAGGUAGCUUGCUACCGGACCUAGCGGCGGACGGGUGAGUAAUGCUUAGGAAUCUGCCUAUUAGUGGGGGACAACAUCUCGAAAGGGAUGCUAAUACCGCAUACGUCCUACGGGAGAAAGCAGGGGAUCUUCGGACCUUGCGCUAAUAGAUGAGCCUAAGUCGGAUUAGCUAGUUGGUGGGGUAAAGGCCUACCAAGGCGACGAUCUGUAGCGGGUCUGAGAGGAUGAUCCGCCACACUGGGACUGAGACACGGCCCAGACUCCUACGGGAGGCAGCAGUGGGGAAUAUUGGACAAUGGGGGGAACCCUGAUCCAGCCAUGCCGCGUGUGUGAAGAAGGCCUUAUGGUUGUAAAGCACUUUAAGCGAGGAGGAGGCUACUCUAGUUAAUACCUAGAGAUAGUGGACGUUACUCGCAGAAUAAGCACCGGCUAACUCUGUGCCAGCAGCCGCCGCGG
rnacentral:rRNA from 1 species